AUUUUUUUUUUUAAAAACUUUAGCUAAUUGGUUCUACAGUAUCUAUUAGUCUUUCACUUUUCUUUUUGAGUUUAAUCUCAAUUCUCAAACCCUCUUCCUCCUCCCUCAUAAUGUCACACACUCUCUCUUCGAAAUAGAUGGCGAAGUUUUCUCUACAGCGGAAAGACGUCUCUCUUCUCCAUGGCGUCCUACCACCUUUAGUCCUUCUACGUUGUCGUCUUCAAGCUCCUUAUACCCCGCGACAGCGACCAGACUAUGGAGUUUGUGCCAUAAACCCCUUCACCGACUUCUCAAAAUAACAGAUUCUCAUAUAUACCUCUUAAAUUUUCGUUCGAUGUUUCCAGAAGAUUCUCCGACUAUGAAAGGAUCUUGUUAGGUUUUGACGGUUUGUCAAGGAAAUUGAAGAAUCAGUCAAUUGCCUCGAUCUUGGCCGUGAAUGGCAAAGGAGGGCGAUGGGAAGCCGGAGGCGCAGAAGUACGUUUACAGGAUAAGAACCGCCAAAUAGUGGCAUGAAUUGCAGAGGAGUGGUUUCACUUUUGGCGGUGAUCUUGACGACUCUACUGCUUGCUUCCAUCUCAGCACCCUUCUUCAGAUUCUUCCCUUUUUCUUUCAAUUUCUGGGCUUCUGUAAUUCAUUUAUUUUUUUAUUAUUCUAGAACCCUUGAUCAAUACUUUCUGAGAUUCUUUCAAUUUCUGGGCUUCUGUAAUUCAUUUAUGUUGUAUUAUUCUAGAACCCUUGAUCAAUACUUUGUGAGAUUAAAGGCUUAAUUUCACGAUUUUAUUUAAUUAUUUGUUCAAUUGAAUCAUCUACCAGUUUGAUAUUGUAGAGAUCCUUAUUUUUGGAUAUCUUAUGUCUAAAUUGAACUAAAUUAUGUCAAAAGCUUAAUCUUUUAGGUUAAAUGAGUAUGAUUGAUUAUGAUUUUUGUGCUAAGAUGGAAAUGAAGCUGUUGGGACAUAUUCAUAGGUACAACCAUCCUUGCAAAGAUUUUUCAAAGAAACUAAUGAGGAGUUAUACUUGCUUCAAGUUGAUUCUAACAAGCCAACUAAGGAUUGUGUGGCAAAGACUCUGAGACGAGUUGCUGAUAAAACUGUUCAUAGACGGAUUGUUAUUGCGCUUGCUCAUCUCUUUUCUUCUGAGCAUCAUAGAAGGACCUUUAUUGACAAUAAUGCUUCUUGAAUCAUCAGGUAUUAAGCAAUAGCAAGAUGGUUUAAGAGCUUUGUACAAGAUGGCCAGCAAAACCACUUUACUCUCACCAGUUGAUGCAGCUCCUCCUUCACCAUCUCCACAGGAGAAGGAUGCUAAAGAUAUAGAGAUUCCAAAUAUUAGAUGGAACGUCUUUGAGUUAAUGUUGAGGCUUUGUAAAUGUCAAUUUGGAUAUUGCUCAGGACUUACUAAGAGCUGCUGAUCAAUAUCUACUAGAUGGUCUGAAAUGGCUUUGCGAGUAUGCCAUUGCCCAAGUACGCAUGAGGUUGAGUUAGCAAGUUUUUCUAUUAUUAUGUUGAGUUUUCAAGUGUGAAGUAACAACCAGUUUUCCAAAAUGGUGUCUGAAACUUUCAGGAUAUCUCUGUGGAGAAUGUCACACUCAUACCGUACAUGAGAUUUUCACCUCAUAUGGCUCCUCAUUCAAUUCUUUCGAUGCCAUUGGAUCCUUUCCAUAAUUCUUUAAGAUGCAAUUAUUCUAA